GAUGAACGCUGGCGGCGUGCCUAAUACAUGCAAGUCGAGCGAAAAGACGCGGCGCUUGCUCCUCUCACGUUUGCCGCGGACGGGUGAGUCACACGUGGAUACCCUACCUAUCAUACGGGUAUCACUUCGGGAAACCGGCGAUAACCCCGGAUAAUCUAUUGCACCGCAUGGUUCAAUGGUGAAAGACGGCUUUGGUGUCUCUUAUAGAUGGAUCCGCGCCGCAUUAGCGGGUUGGUAAGGUAACGGCUUAGCAGGGCUACGAGGGGUAGACGAGCGGAGAGGGGGAUCGGCCACACUGGAGCUGGGACACGGUCCAGACUCCUACGGGAGGGAGCAGUAGGGAAUGGGCCGCAAUAGGCGAAAGCCUGGCGGAGCAACGCCGAGUGAGUGAUGGAGGUCUUCGGUGCGUAAAACUCUGUUAUGAGGGAAGAACAAAUGUGUAGGUAACUAUGGACGUCUUGACGGUACCUAAUCAGAAAGCAACGGCUAACUACGUG
rnacentral:rRNA from 1 species